GAAUCUGCCCUCAGGAGGGGGAUAACGGUUGGAAACGACCGCUAAUACCCCAUAUGCCGAGAGGUGAAAUGAAAUUCGCCUGAGGAUGAGCUCGCGUCUGAUUAGCUAGUUGGUAAGGUAAUGGCUUACCAAGGCAUUGAUCAGUAGCUGGUCUGAGAGGAUGAUCAGCCACACUGGGACUGAGACACGGCCCAGAUUCCUACGGGAGGCAGCAGUGGGGAAUUUUCCGCAAUGGGCGCAAGCCUGACGGAGCAACGCCGCGUGAGGGAUGAAGGCCUCUGGGCUGUAAACCUCUUUUAUCAAGGAAGAAGAACUGACGGUACUUGAUGAAUAAGCCACGGCUAAUUCCGUGCCAGCAGCCGCGGUAAUACGGGAGUGGCAAGCGUUAUCCGGAAUUAUUGGGCGUAAAGCGUCCGCAGGCGGUUUUACAAGUCUGUCGUUAAAGCGUGGAGCUCAACUCCAUUUCAGCGAUGGAAACUGUAAGACUCGAGCGUGGUAGGGGCAGAGGGAAUUCCCGGUGUAGCGGUGAAAUGCGUAGAUAUCGGGAAGAACACCAGUGGCGAAAGCGCUCUGCUGGGCCAUAACUGACGCUCAUGGACGAAAGCCAGGGGAGCG
rnacentral:rRNA from 1 species